GAUGAAGAACGUAGCGAAAUGCGAUACGUAAUGUGAAUUGCAAAUUCAGUGAAUCAUCGAGUCUUUGAACGCACAUUGCGCCCCCUGGUAUUCCGGGGGGCAUGCCUGUCCGAGCGUCAUUGCUGCCCUCAAGCACGGCUUGUGUGUUGGGCCCCGUCCUCCGAUCCCGGGGGACGGGCCCGAAAGGCAGCGGCGGCACCGCGUCCGGUCCUCGAGCGUAUGGGGCUUUGUCACCCGCUCUGUAGGCCCGGCCGGCGCUUGCCGGUCAACCCAAAUUUUUAUCCAGGUUGACCUCGGAUCAGGUAGGGAUACCCGCUGAACUUAAGCAUAUCAAUAAGCGGAGGA
rnacentral:misc_RNA from 1 species